rnacentral:rRNA from 1 species
UACGUAGGGGGCGAGCGUUAUCCGGAUUUACUGGGCGUAAAGCGCGUUAAGGCGGUUGGCAAAGUUGGUUGUGAAAUCUCAGGGCUCAACCCUGAAAUUGCGACCAAUACUGGUCGACUAGAGUGCAAGAGAGGAAGGUGGAAUUCCUGGUGUAGCGGUGGAAUGCGCAGAUAUCAGGAGGAACACCCGUGGCGAAGGCGGCUCUCUGGGACGGUACUGACGCUGAGACGCGAAAGCGUGGGGAGCGAACAGG